UACAGAGGUGGCAAGCGUUGUUCGGAAUUACUGGGCGUAAAGGGCGCGUAGGCGGCCUUCUAAGUCAGACGUGAAAUCCCCCGGCUUAACCUGGGAACUGCGUCUGAUACUGGACGGCUUGAGUAUGGGAGAGGGAUGUAGAAUUCCAGGUGUAGCGGUGAAAUGCGUAGAUAUCUGGAGGAAUACCGGUGGCGAAGGCGGCAUCCUGGACCAUUACUGACGCUGAGGCGCGAAAGCUAGGGGAGCAAACGGG
rnacentral:rRNA from 1 species